UGAUGGUCUGGGGAGGCAUAUCCCUGGAAGGACGCACAGACCUCUACAGGUUAGAUAACGGCACCCUGACUGCUAUUAGGUAUCGGGAUGAAAUCCUUGGACCCAUUGUCAGAACCUACGCUGGUGCAGUGGAACCUGGGUUCCUCCUGGUCCACGACAAUGCCCAACCUCAACGCCCAUAUAAGGAAGUCCAGGUUGCAUUGAUGUCAAUGGAACUCGGUGUUUAUAUAAAAAAAAAAAAAACUCUGUAAAACAGCGUGCAGAGCCGUCCAAAACUGCCUUCUCACUUCCAAAUGCGCAAACCUCAUUAUCUGAUGCGUUGGCAUCGUUUAACACGAGAAUAAAACAUUGUAACUACAUUUAUACUGCGAUUGGCUGGCGACCAGUCCAGGGUGUACCCCGCCUGUCGCCCAAAGUCAGCUGGGAUAGGCUCCAGCAUACCCCCGCGACCCUAAUGAGGAAAAAGCGGUAUAGAAAAUGGAUGGAUGGAUGGAACUACAUUUAUAGGUCAAAAAAGAGGAAAAGCAUAAAAGGUCCCCUUCAAAAGUAAAGUUAAAAUCUUGUCCGUCCUCGUUCUCGUAGACUCAAUCUCGUUAAUUGUCUCAUCUUGUGAACUGAGUGUCUCGUGACACCCCUAAUUAAUACACUACACACUUCCAGACUUAUGAUAUUGUCAAAAAAAAUUUUAGAAAAUGGGACCUGGAAAGGCGCCUCUUGCAGAGCUUCCAUAUUUGCUCCCUUUCCUCUUGAGUGAGAAAUGCAGACAGUCUCUCCGGCUCAACACAUUGAAUCUGACAGGGACAGCCAGAGACUGGAGUUAAAAUCAGAUCAUGGAGAAGAAAGCACAUUUGUGACUCACGGUUUUAGCGCCAAGCACGUGGGCGAUGAUGUAGUGGCUGGAGAGGUCAGGUUCUGUGACUCUUUUCACCUCAAAGUGUUUCUUCCAAAUAUCUGCCGCCUGUCUUGCUGUUAUCCUGGAUGCAGGAGACGCCUCGGUACUGCAUGGAUGCACUGCACACGAGCCCCAAAUUUCCUAAAAGUAAUAGGUUCAAGAAUGUUUAAUGUAUCAGUGUGUGGCAACCAUCCUUGCAAAUUCAUUCAUUCAUUCAUUCUUCAUUUAUGUAACUGGGUGAUACAGUAGGGUUAUAAAAUGUACACAAUACACUCCAAUGCAUAAUUGGUAAUGGUAUACUGUACUGUACUACUUUAUGCUAAAAGGUGUUUUGUAAAUGGACAGUGACACAGAAGGUUAAAAAUUAGGACGCAAACAAUUGUUAAAUGUGAUAGUUCUUACACAUUAAAGCAUCACUAACAACAAAGUAUAUCGCUCUCAUAUUCGUAAACGCAAGUCAAGUGACACUUACCUUAAAUCCGCGACUCCUCCCCACUAAAUAUGUAUUUACUGCAGUCACUGGCUUCUUCCACAUUUCAACCCACACAGUCGUGAUAAAGGAAACGCACUUGGUCACGUAUACGAACAUUAAAGCUCAUUUUUAAUCCCCAUUGUGGAGUUUAUUUGACAUUGCUGUUUGUGGGAAGCGGCGUUGUCGCUCGCCAUGGCGCAGUAGCUAACAUCUCCAACGUCCACGUGUGACGUCGUCGAAGUUUUGCGCAAACUCUGCGCAAGAUUGACUCUGUUGAGGAAGGGUGCAUUUAAGGUUAAUGGGGAAAAUUUGGAUUUCACUGACACGAGACGUACAAACAACUGUAAAACAACCACGAUCAGCUUUGAACAGUACUAGAUAGAAUUACACCAAAAUUUAUAUUGCAUAGGUGGGUUUAUAAAUGAAGUAAAAAUACUGGUGUAGAGUUGAUAUUGUCUUCUGCGAGGUGUUGUAAACGCAUCAGUUCUGUUUUCCAGCAAGGCGAGGCGUGACUGGAAAAUGUGUGAUAAGUCACUGGAAGGCAACGUUAGAAACGUUAGAAAAAUACUGCUUCACUUUUAUCAUCGUGGGGUUUUAUGUCGCUGCAAAACUUGCCCUUUUUGUCAAGGUUUUUUUUUUUUUUUUGUAAAAACGGGAAGUUAGCUGCUAGCUUAAGAAAGGCAGCCAACCGAGACCAAAUAGUUUGUUUUGGUCAUACUCAAUAAACGCCUUGGGAAACUCGGUGAUGGGCAUGGACACUCGACUAGAAUGCAUCUUCUUUAGCGAAUUUCACCCUACUUUGGGUCCCAAAAUAACAUAUCAGGUCCCGGAAGAAUACAUUUCAAGGGAACUCUUUGACACCGUUCAGGUUUAUAUUAUCACCAAACCAGAGCUGCAGAACAAAUUAAUAACAGUCACUGCCAUGGGCAAGAAGUUAAUCGGGUGUCCGGUGUGCAUUGAACACAAGAAGUACAGCCGCAACGCCCUCCUGUUUAACCUUGGGUUUGUUUGUGAUGCACAAGCUAACACCUGUGUCCUGGAGCCAAUUGUCAAGAAGCUCUCGGGUUAUCUCACCACUCUGGAGCUGGAGAGUGGCUUCAUCUCCAAAGAGGAGAGCAAACAGAAGCUUCUGCCUAUCAUGUCCACCUUGUUAGAAGAGCUCAACGCGACCGGAGCCUGUACCUUACCCAUAGACGAAUCGAACACCAUCCACCUGAAGCUGAUCCCACUGCGAAAGGACCCGCUGGUCGUCCAGGAGUAUGAUGUGCCGGUCUUCACCCAGAGCAAAGACCACUUCAUUACAUCUCAAUGGGACCUCACCACUCAGCAGAUUCUGCCCUACAUUGACGGCUUUCGACACGUCCAGAAAAUCUCAGCCGAAGCAGACGUGGAGUUGAAUAUCGUUCGUAUUGCUGUGCAGAACCUCCUGUAUUAUGAUUUGGUGACCUUGGUGUCCAUAUUCCAGUACUCCAACGUGUACUGCACCACCCCCAAAGUGCAGAGCCUGAUAGAUGACAAGCUCAUCCAGGAGGACUGUCUCGCCUACGUCACCAAGCAAGGCCAAAAGCGUCCAAGUCUGAGAGACGUGUUCCAGUUGUACUGUGGUCUGAGUCCGGGAACCACGGUGCGAGACCUUUGUUCCCGCUACUCGCAGCAGCUGCAGAGAGUGGACGAGAGGUCAGCGGCGCCCGUCUCACGCACGAGGAAAACAAACAACGACACAUUUGACGGACGAGGUCAGGCGGGGGUUAGAAGUAUCCCGUCAAGGUGAUACGUGACGAGAAGAGCAGGCCACCUCGCCUGUACACGGGUUGUCACAGUUACGAUGAGAUCUGCUGCAAGACAGGGAUCAGCUACAAGGAGCUGGAUGAACGUUUGGAAAAUGAUCCCAACAUUGUGGUGUGCUGGAAGUGACGUCGCGUGCGGUUAAAACUGCUUGAUUGACACAUCCAGAGAUGUAUGUGGUGGCCAAGGGAAUGGUCAGCAGGAGCUUUUCAACACAGAUGCACGAUAUCUUUUUUUUUUUUUUUUCCUUUUUCCCAAAACUGACACCAGUAACUUUCUGCUUCUCAAGACCGAUAUGGUACUGAUAACCGAUAAUGUUGUUUUGAUUUAACUGUGGUUUGUGCACACCGGGCACCUGUAGGUACGAAGGACUCAAACAAAUUAGGAUGUGACCAACUGUACCCGCUGAUUUGUCCUAAUGAAAUAUCAUGACAUUACUACUACCACAUCGCUACUAUCAGGAGAACCAGCGUAUAGAGCGGAGGGAGCCACCUGCUGUGGCCCAGCAAGGUGCACUGUAUUCAGGCACACGCUCCAAGCAGCCAGUGUGCCGCUAUGGCGGUCAGGGGAACCGGAGUAUAGAGCGAGAGGAGCCACCUGGCGUGGCCCAGCAAGAUGCACAGUAUUAGGGCACAGGCUUCGAGCAGCCGGUGUGACGCCACGGAGGAGUCUGGCAAACCUUAAGGUUUUUUGUGUGGGGGGGCCCCCCCCUUCCGCCCCAAUUCGCAUGUAAAAUGUCUUCGUCGGAAAGUGAGUGGCCGUUUACAAGUGAGCUCUGGGGAAGUUACGACGGUCCCUUGACGUCACAGGCAGGAGAAAAAAGGAGUGUUUGAUUUACUCACCCGCACAGUACGGGUGAUCUCGCCUCGUUUGAGUGGUUUUGGGUUGUUGUUUUUUUAAAUUAUCGGUUGUCUUAGUUAUUUUUAAUGUUAUCGGAUUUAUCGGUUUGACGUCCUAAUUCCCUCAUAUCGGCCUGAUCAUUGUCGCGCACCCCUAC